GGUGCAAAGUGGGUGCCAUAUAUGGCGCCAAUCCUAUCUCAAGUGGGAGUCCUUCUUUGAUAAGUAGUGAACUGAUUCGAAGCAUGUUUGAAUUAGGAGUCCUAUAUUUAUUGGGUCAUAAAAAUUAUCUAUAAAUAGAGAGGAUCUCUACCUAUAGAUGCAUAGCAAUCAGAGUGAGAAAAGAGAGAAAGAGAGAGAGGUGUGAGAGCUAGUGGGCGCCCCUUUCUCCUUGGCGUGUCCUCCUCCUUGCCGCCCAUCCUCUCCAAACCGUGGACCCUCCUUGGGCGUCCCCCCUUACUGGUGUAAGGGAUCACACCAGCACCUCUUCUCCCUCCUUGGUGGCCUUGUGAAGGUGCAUUAAUCAAGAGAUUCAUCUUGCUUUCCUACGUUGCCUGACGUG
rnacentral:lncRNA from 1 species